UGCACGCGUAAUGGGUUGACCCUUCUUGCAAAGAAAUACGUGGUACACCAAUUUCCUUGUGAACACUGGCAGUGCCGCCGGAGCGGGAAAAUGAGAGUGACCAGAUGCCGUGGAACUAAGCCGGAUCAUCCUUGUAUACACUGGCUCAACGGAAAGUGGCCUACUUGCUGUUACUUCUAUUACUACUGUCGAACGUAACAAAAGCAUUAUUUAAAGCGAUCAAUAAAAUCGAGUUCACCGUUGAGAA